UACGGAGGGUGCAAGCGUUAUCCGGAUUCACUGGGUUUAAAGGGAGCGCAGGCGGAUUUGUAAGUCAGUGGUGAAAGGCUUAAGCUUAACUUGGGAACUGCCAUUGAUACUAUAAGUCUUGAAUGUUGUUGAGGUUUGCGGAAUGGGUCAUGUAGCGGUGAAAUGCAUAGAUAUGACCCGGAACACCUAUUGCGAAGGCAGCAGGCUAAACAAAUAUUGACGCUGAGGCUCGAAAAGCGUUGGGGGAUCAAAACAGG
rnacentral:rRNA from 1 species